UACGGGGGGGGCGAGCGUUGUCCGAAGUUACUGGGCGUAAAGCGCGUGUAGGCGGGUUGUUAAGUCCGCUGUGAAAGCCCGGUGCUCAACGCCGGAGGGUCGGUGGAUACUGGCAGUCUUGAAGUGGCUAGGGGGAAAUGGAAUUACCGGUGUAGCGGUGAAAUGCGUAGAUAUCGGUAGGAACACCAGUGGCGAAGGCGGUUUCCUGGAGCACACUUGACGCUGAGACGCGAAAGCUGGGGGAGCAAACGGG
rnacentral:rRNA from 1 species